ACAGUCACAACGGUGAAAGAUGAGCAUGCGUCCCAUUAGCUAGUUGGUAAGGUAACGGCUUACCAAGGCAACGAUGGGUAGGGGUCCUGAGAGGGAGAUCCCCCACACUGGUACUGAGACACGGACCAGACUCCUACGGGAGGCAGCAGUGAGGAAUAUUGGACAAUGGGCGCAAGCCUGAUCCAGCCAUGCCGCGUGCAGGAUGACGGUCCUAUGGAUUGUAAACUGCUUUUAUACAGGAAGAAACACUACUUCGUGAAGUAGCUUGACGGUACUGUAAGAAUAAGGAUCGGCUAACUCCGUG
rnacentral:rRNA from 1 species